rnacentral:rRNA from 1 species
UACGUAGGGGACCAGCGUUGUCCGGAUUUACUGGGCGUAAAGAGCGCGCAGGCGGUCGUUCAAGUCGGGUGUGAAAGCCCCCGGCUCAACUGGGGAGGGUCACGCGAUACUGCUCGACUCGAAGGCAGGAGAGGGAAGUGGAAUUCCCGGUGUAGUGGUGAAAUGCGUAGAUAUCGGGAGGAACACCAGUGGCGAAGGCGACUUCCUGGCCUGUUCUUGACGCUGAGGCGCGAAAGCUAGGGUAGCAAACGGG